rnacentral:rRNA from 1 species
GACGAACGCUGGCGGCGUGCCUAAUACAUGCAAGUCGAGCGGACUGAUUAAGAGCUUGCUCUUAUGACGUUAGCGGCGGACGGGUGAGUAACACGUGGGCAACCUGCCCUGUAGAUCGGGAUAACACCGAGAAAUCGGUGCUAAUACCGGGUAAUAUCUGAGAUCACAUGAUCUUAGGUUAAAAGAUGGCUCCGGCUAUCGCUACAGGAUGGGCCCGCGGCGCAUUAGCUAGUUGGUAAGGUAAUGGCUUACCAAGGCGACGAUGCGUAGCCGACCUGAGAGGGUGAUCGGCCACACUGGGACUGAGACACGGCCCAGACUCCUACGGGAGGCAGCAGUAGGGAAUCUUCCGCAAUGGACGAAAGUCUGACGGAGCAACGCCGCGUGAGUGAUGAAGGGGUGCGGCUCGUAAAGCUCUGUUGUUAGGGAAGAAACAGUACCGAACGAACUAGGUCGGUACCUUGACGGUACCUAACCAGAAAGCCACGGCUAACUACGUG